UUCCAAUUAACAAAUGUAGAAGACAUGAAGGACAUACAAAGUUAUUACUAGGUAAACACAGCAGUAAGAUCCACUAAAUAAGAGGGAUGCUAAAAUCAUUGAGCAAAAGUUUGAAAAUAUUACCACAAUCUCAAACUAUCUUCAUUAAUUUCAAGGAGAAUAAUGAGAAGUUUAGAGAGAAAAAAACCUUGUAGAUACUACAUUAGCCAAUGAUCAAAGCUAACACCACUAGUGUCAAGGCAUGAUUCAUUUACCCUCUGAUAUAUACUGAGAAAGAGAAAACAUUACUUAUGUAGUAUUCUUUCCCAAAAGGAAUAAUGUUGAAAACAUGAGACAAAUUCAUAUUGAGGAACAUUCUAAAACAUAACUGACCAGUACUCUGUCAAGAACAUUAAAGACAAGAAAAACAUGAGGGGCUGCCACAGAUUACGUGGAGAAGAAUGAGGAAGCAGUGUGGGAUCCUUGAUUCGAUCCUGGAGCAGGAAUUGAUGGAAUUGGAAUAAGGUCUGUAUUUGUUAGAAGCAAGGAACUAGGUCCAGCUCACACUCAACGGCGGGAGGGGGGGUGGUGGGGGUUGCACAAGGGAUUUACUGGGGACUCUCUCAGAGGCUGCCUAUGGCAAGCAGCAAACAGCAAAGGGAGAGCAAGAGGAAGAGCAGGGUUGGAAGUCAGGGAGGGGUAAUCACUUCCAUUUUGGACAUAUUGUGUAUAAAAUGUUGAUGAAUCUUUAGGUGGAGAUGUCUGUCUGGAAGUUGGAUGUUGAACCUGAGGCUCAAGUACCAGAUCUGAACAAGAGGUGAAGAUUUAGGUAUCUUUAGCCUGCCAGUGGCAAUUAAUGCCGUAGAGAUAGUAGUGAACAUCACUCAAAGAAAAUGUGCAGGCUGAAGUGAGGAGUACCAAUAUUUAAGAUACAUGCAGAUAAAGAAAAGUCCAAAAAAGAGAUACAAAUGGGAUGACCAGAGAGGCAGAGGGAUAAUGAAGAGUGAAAACCUCAGAAACCAAGAAUGAGAGGGUUUCCAGGAGAGGGGAGAAGUGUCAACAACCACAGGGAUGUUUGUUAAGAUGAGUAUUGGGAAAUAGGCAAUGAAUUGCACUUUUAUUUUCUUAGUCUCAUUCUUCCAUCUCACAGAAUGAAUUUGAAAUUAAGAGAUCUUUGGGGACCUUGGCAGAACUGGGUUCGGUGGACUGGUGAUAAUGGAAUGCAGGUGCUUUGGUUGAAGACUGAACAUGAACUGAAAAAGGGGAGACACAGAAUGAGUUUAGUCUACCAUCUUGAGAAGGCUAGAAGGAAGUUAUACACCGCCUCUCAUCUGAGUGUAGUGUUACACUCGUGGCUAUUUGAGAAUGAGGAAAAAUUCCCUUGCUAGCAACCACUAUCCAAUAAAAAGGCUGAAUUUUAAAACGUCUUCUGUUAGCUCUCUAUAUGUAAAAGAUGAUUCUAAAUUUUUUGAGAAUUUUUUGAGCAUGUACUUGUUCCUAUGCUCUUUAAAAAUGGUAAAAUAUUUCCACAGUUGCUGACCAUCUAAGAUGCAUUUUCUAUCACCAGUCUCAUAAAUAUUCAGCUAUUGUACCUUUCCCCAAACAGCCAGCGAUUUAUUCAUUACAUUGAAUUGCAAUCUCACCCUUCCUUUCCGCUCCUUUGUAAAGAGAUAGGCAAUAUUUCGGCAGUUUUUGUAACGCUUCUGUCUUGAGGGAAUGUAAAUAUAAGCAUAAUUGAUUUUCUGAACUUGAUUUUUUUUCUAUGUUCCAGUGCUUUAUGCAUUAUAGGUAGGAUGACUGACAAAUCAGCCCUGAUUGGUAAUUAGGAUGCAGAAUAUAUUAAAAGCAUAGCACAUAUAUCCAGUUUGCUCUCAGUGCAAACCCUGGAAAUGUGAAGCUUCUCAACGCUCUAGUGCUUGUUGUCUAAUUACCUGCUCUUUUGCUUUGACUCAGCCAUUCAGGAACUACAGUAGCUUAGUCUGGCAGUUUAGGGGUGAUUGCUAGCUAAAUGCUGGAAUUCACUUUGCCCAACUUUGACUCAUCUUUCCUUCCUCUUCCCCCUCUGAAAUGACAUUCUUCCUCAAAAAGCAUUUCUUCCCUUCACGUGUUGGCUGGAUAAUGAAGGCUUGUGUUCUCCCCCUUGUUUGAAGGCUAAAUUCUCAAGUGUCAGUAAUGGCAAGGCAAGAUCCCUGGGGCUCCCAUUCUUCCCUGCAUCACCUCAGCAAUCAGCCCAUGGCCCUGAAAGGAGAGGCCAUCUUUGCCUUUGUGUUGGAAAUGAGAGUUCACUAUUCACACCAGGAAAUCUGUGGACACCUGGAAACUGAAAAGGAAAAAUUGAUUUUCUUUCACCUUCCCACGAAUCUGAAUGUCACUUCAGAAGCUCCCAAGAUUUAAUUGAUCUGAGACAACUUCACAGCAACUCCACCCCCUGUUGAAUGAUUAAGAAUAUUAAUAAGGUUGAGGGCGCUGGCAACACUGAGAGGUGGCUUGGAAGCAUCAUUGAAGACUGAACUAUAUAAAACUGCCAAUAUUUGUGUCUUUUUUGAACUGUAAUGAAGGCAGUUUUAUAAGAUUCAGAUUAAUAUUAGCUACUGCCAGAGAAAUGGAAGUUUGAAGCUUGUAUUGAUGAAAUGAAUUCUGAUUCCCCAUCAAGAGUCUUUGUCCUUAUAACUAAUGAAUUAGUAAAAUAAUUUAUUUUUUCAUUAACAGAACAUUUGUUGUAUAUCUAUUCUUCAGUGCUUAAUUACCCAGUAGGCAGAUCAGGCAUGCAUGUGGGGACCCAUAAAAUAAGGCAUUGUGUUUUCUGUAAUUUAGUUCAAUAUCAUUCAGCAUAGAAAGUAUGACACAUAUGUGUGUGUUUAGUUAGUUUAACUUACCUCCAGGGGCACCUUGCUAAUAUUUGAAGAACCCUAAUCAGAAAUACACACUCUAGGGGAGAUUAGUUAGCAUUUGAAAGACUCUAAUCAGGUAGCUACUCUAAAUGUUUAACUCUCAGCAAUCACAAUUAGCACUAGAGGGUUUAUUAACCAGCCUGAGGGAUGCUAGUAAUAAUUUUAAAUUAGUGAAAUAAGUACUAUUCAAGAUAAGUAUAUUGGUUAGAAAUAGGGCACAAGCACCACUGCCUUAGCAUGAACAGAAUACAAGAAUCUAGGGUGCUUCUGACCCAGGUCUGUUUCCCAUUAGAAGAUUGUCUGAAUUCUGCUACAAGGCUACAAUCGCGUUUGCAUUGAGUCUUUCAUGAAAACGAUUGAAUUUGUUUUCAGAAAAAAAGCAUUCUGACAGCAGUGCAGAGGAUGCACUGGGGUGUUCAGGAGCUGGAGAGAGAGUGAAGAUAGUGAGACCAGUUAGGAGGCUCUGAUAGUAGCCCAAUGAAGAAGCUCUGAACUAAAGUUGUGGCAGUGUGAGUGCAUGGAGUAGAGAGGAUAGAUUGGAAAGGUUUACAAGAGAAAAAGAAAUGGAUUUGAUGAAUAACUGGACAUGGAAGAAGGGUAUGUCGGUGAAAAGAAAGACAUAAAGACAGCUUCCAGGGUUCUGAUUUUCACAGUUCCAUUUACCAAAAUAGAAAACCAAAGAUAAAAAAGAAGUUCAGGGCCAGUGAAAAAUCAGCUACUUUUGAAUAAGUUAAUGUGAGAUGUCUGCAGGACACCAAGUGGAGUGAUCCAACAGGUAGAUAUUUAUACACACAUGUACAGAAGUACAUAUCUGCUAUCUGGGAUUCAGGAAGGAGACCUGGGCUGGAAAUAGAUAUCUAAUGUGUUUAAUAAACAUGUAUUAGUCAUUUACUAUACUCCAGACCAAUAUUAGUGGUGAUCCUUGCCUUCAUGAUGAUUUCAGUAUUUGGCAGACACCAAGUAAGGGGGACAUUUGAAGUCUUGAGAAUGAGGUCACCCAGGGAAAAUGUAGAGUUAAAAGUGCAGAAGCAGGAUCCUUUGGACAAUUAAUAUUUAAGAUGCAAGAGAAAAAAGGAUGAAUGAUAUAAAUGGUAUAUGAAUUGAAAACAAGAAGGAUUGGCCAAAUAAAUAGGAGGAAAAUGAGAAGAGAAUGGUACUAAGGAAGUCAAGAAAUAUAAAAGUUUCAUCUUUUAUAUGAAAGAUGAGGCCGGGCG
rnacentral:lncRNA from 10 species